GGGGAUGACUGGUUUUGACAGCGAGAUCAGUUAAAAUAUAAGCAUGCCGAGCCAUGAAAUAGCACUCGUAAAAAUCGAUUUCAACUUUUUAAACGGCGAAGAUAAUUACGCUUUAGCUGCUUAAUCUGAAUCACAGUAGGAUAGAGCCUCGUUCCGCAAGGCGGAAAAGCUAAAUGUCUCUUGAAAGCCCUGGUAUACGGCGUUCUGAUUAGAGGCAUCGUAAAAGUAAACCUAGAAGGAUCAUUGUUUCGCUGGUCUUUCGAAACUAAAGAAACUAAGCUUAAAGUAGGUGGUUUUUAGUCGGCUUUAGGUCUACAAUCAAAUAAAAACUAAGCAUGUAGAAAGUAUUUUAGUUGCUUGUUUGGACGAGGGUUCGAGUCCCUCCAUCUCCACGA
rnacentral:tmRNA from 1 species